rnacentral:rRNA from 1 species
UACGUACCGUACGAACGUUAUUCGGAAUUACUGGGCUUAAAGAGUUCGUAGGCGGCGUGGUAGGUGGGGUGUGAAAUCCCUCGGCUCAACCGAGGAACUGCGCUUCAAACCACCAUGCUUGAGGGAGGUAGAGGUGAGCGGAACUGAUGGUGGAGCGGUGAAAUGCGUUGAUAUCAUCAGGAACACCGGUGGCGAAAGCGGCUCACUGGGUCUCUUCUGACGCUGAGGAACGAAAGCUAGGGGAGCGAACGGG